UACGAAGGGGGCUAGCGUUGCUCGGAAUCACUGGGCGUAAAGCGCACGUAGGCGGAUUCCUAAGUCGGUGGUGAAAUCCUGGAGCUCAACUCCAGAACUGCCUCCGAUACUGAGAGUCUACGAGUCCAGGAGAGGUGAGUGGAACUGCGAGUGUAGAGGUGAAAUUCGCAGAUAUUCGCAAGAACACCAGUGGCGAAGGCGGCUCACUGGCCCGGUACUGACGCUGAGGUGCGAAAGCGUGGGGAGCAAACAGG
rnacentral:rRNA from 1 species